rnacentral:rRNA from 1 species
AGCAGCCGCGGUAAUUCCAGCUCCAAUAGCGUAUAUUAAAGUUGUUGCAGUUAAAAAGCUCGUAGUUGAAUUUCGGGAUCAAAUUGUCGGUCGUGCCUCGGUACGAACUGGUAUUAUUGGUUCCUCCCUUCUGAAGAACCGCGAUGUCAUUAAUUUGGUGUCGUGGGGAAUCAGGACUGUUACUUUGAAAAAAUUAGAGUGUUUAAAGCAGGCUUACGCUUGAAUACAUUAGCAUGGAAUAAUGAAAUAGGACGUUUGAUUCUAUUUUGUUGGUUUCUAGGAUYGACGUAAUGAUUAAUAGGGAUAGUUGGGGGCAUUAGUAUUCAAUUGUCAGAGGUGAAAUUCUUGGAUUUAUUGAAGACUAACUACUGCGAAAGCAUUUGCCAAGGAUGUUUUCAUUAAUCAAGAACGAAAGUUAGGGGAUCGAAGAUCGAUCAGAUACCGUCGUAGUCUUAACCAUAAACUAUGCCGACUAGGGAUCGGAUGA